UCAGACACAGAUCAGCUCAAUCAGGAGAAAGCAUAGCAGGCUGCAGAUCACCCCAGUAGCACAUUUUCACCCUCAGCAGUCUAUAGCUCGUGCACCUUUUCACCCCAGCAGAGCAGACUACAGAUCACCCUCAGUAGACCAGAACUUAUGCAUAACAUCAUUUCAGCAAAGAAACAUACUCAACCCACAUAGCUUCAGUAAGGCAGCAAUUAGCUACAUACAGUGGCAGACCUGAUAUGAAAGACACUAAUCAAGCAAUUAGCAACUGUAGCAAGAUGAGAGUGGUAGAAGCAAUAUUAUACAUUGUUCUCGCAAUUUUCAACCUUGGAAUCCAAAGUGAAGUCCAGGCCUAUUCCACCAUCUCCUUCAAUGUGGUAGGUGCCACCUUGGCCACAUAUAGAGACUUCAUAGGGGAACUAUGAGAAAUCGUGUCACGAGGAACCCGUACAGUAAAUGGCCUACCAGUGCUGAACCCCGAAAGUAAACUGGUGGUUGCGAACCGGUUUGUUCUGGUCCGUCUCAGCAAUGGCGUCACCGUCACAUUGGCAAUAGAUGUGGUGAACCUUUAUGUGGUGGCUUUUAGUGGUGGAGAUAACAAAUCCUACUUUUUCAAUGACCGUACGGCAUUUCAGUACAACAAUUUAUUCAACGGCACCCAAAAAAGCAACUUAACCUUCACCGGCAACUAUAUCAGCCUUGAGAGGCAGACAGGAGUUAGGCAGAGGGACCAACUCCCUCUGGGACCAACUCCCCUAGCUGAUGGCAUCACAAGUUUAUGGUACGGUAGGAGCGUAGCCGAACCGCUCCUUGUGGUCAUUCAGAUGGUCUCGGAAGCGGCAAGGUUCAAAUACAUUGAGGAACAAGUCCGUAAAAGCAUAACCGGUCGAAACACUUUUACACCAAAAGGUUUGAUAGUGACCAUGGAGAACGAAUGGGGGUCUAUGUCCAAGCAGGUUCAGCUUUCGUGAGAUGGAGAAAACUUCAUUAAUAGCGUUCAGCUUAAAGAUGACAAUUACCAGAUCCUCACAAUAAACAACUUUACUACACUCAGUCGCUAUACCAUGAUAGCAAUUCUUCUUGACGAAAGCGUCACGACUACUAGUAGUAGUUAUGGCAAUGUUGCUCCAGCCAAGGACAACGAUGACAGGGAGUUGUUCAAACCCUAAAAUUGAUGUAACUGCCUAAACCCCACAUCUCACCCUUAAAUAAAUUAUUCUAGGUAACCUCCUUUCCUCUCAAACUGGUUUGAGAGCAUAAAAUAAACAGUUACCCUUCAUCUUCCUCCAAAUUUAAGUCUGUUUUGCA